CCUCCGGGUGUCCGCCGUUCUUACUAUUUUUCCCUUUCCUAUAUUCUUAACCAUCCAAUUCUCUUUAGUGAAGACGGCCCUACGGGUUGUAAACCUCUUUUGUCGGGGAGCAAAGCGAGUCACGUGUGACUCAUUGAGAGUACCCGAAGAAAAAGCAUCGGCUAACUCCGUGCCAGCAGCCGCGGUAAUACGGAGGAUCCGAGCGUUAUCCGGAUUUAUUGGGUUUAUAGGGAGCGUCGGUGGAUGGUUAAGUCAGUUGUGAAAGUUUGCGGCUCAACCGUAAAAUUGCAGUUGAAACUGGAAGUCGUGAGUACAGUAGAGGUGGGCGGAAUUCGUGGUGUAGCGGUGAAAUGCUUAGAUAUCACGAAGAACUCCGAUUGCGAAGGCAGCUCACUGGACUGCAACUGACACUGAGGCUCGAAAGUGUGGGUAUCAAACAGGAUUAGAUACCCCGGUAGUC
rnacentral:rRNA from 1 species